AUCCUUUUGUGGUUCAUCCGCCUGAUGAUUGGGUUUUCAUGCAGACGUGUGAGCUGUGCCUCCCUCAAGCCUUGUUACGACAUCCGACAUCCGCACAUUACCUGUCUGAUG
rfam:Pan troglodytes isolate Yerkes chimp pedigree #C0471 (Clint) chromosome 17, whole genome shotgun sequence.